rnacentral:rRNA from 1 species
ACGGAAGGCAGCAGUCGGGAAUAUUGCUCAAUGGGCGAAAGCCUGAAGCAGCAACGCCGCGUGGAGGAUGACACUUUUCGGAGCGUAAACUCCUUUUCUUAGGGACGAAAUUUGACGGUACCUCAGGAAUAAGCACCGGCUAACUCCGUGCCAGCAGCCGCGGUAAUACGGAGGGUGCAAGCGUUACUCGGAAUCACUGGGCGUAAAGGACGCGUAGGCGGAUUAUCAAGUCUGUUGUGAAAUCUAAUGGCUUAACCAAUAAACUGCAUGUGAAACGGAUAAUCUAGAGUGAGGGAGAGGUAGAUGGAAUUCUUGGUGUAGGGGUAAAAUCCGUAGAUAUCAAGAAGAAUACCAAUGGCGAAGGCGAUCUGCUAGAACUCAACUGACGCUAAUGCGUGAAAGCGUGGUGAGCAAACAGGAUUAGAUACCCUGGUA